UUGGAUUAAUAACUUCCGUGAUCAAGCAGCAACUUGCCAAUUUCCUGGGGUACACUAUAGUAUUGACAUUAUUUAUUUAUUGUGGAGUUGAAUGCAGAAUAGUAAAGAUAACUAACUGAUUAUCUGGACAAUCAGAGGUGAAUGUAUCUCAGUAGCACACUGUGCCAUGGCUAUCCUAAUACCUCGCCUGGAUUUGGUGAUAUCUUUCGUUGGAGCUGUCAGUAGCAGUGCAUUGGCACUGAUCUUUCCUCCUUUUGUGGAAAUUCUCACAUUUUAUGAACACAGAUUUAGUAUAUGGAUGAUUUUCAAGAACAUUUUCAUAGCGCUGUUUGGAAUCCUUGGCUUUCUAGCUGGAACAUAUGUAACUGUUAAGGAAAUGAUUAACCCUUGCUCUCCCCUCACUGUUAUUGCAACAAAAGUACCUUACCUGGUGAUGAAUGCUUCAAGUUUAGACAGUUUUUCAAAUGAUAUAUAAAGCAAAUAGUGUAUUGAUGUAGUUACUGUAGUUUUAUAAAAUCAUACUAGGUACAUAUCUAUCAAAAUAUUUCUAUUUAUUGAAGUUUUUUUUGAUAAAGCCGUUAUAUAUUUUAUAAAACACAUCUAACAUAUACUGUCUGUGAUUUCCAGUAUUCAUCAAAUGUUACUUGUAAGAAAGGCUUGUACGACCUAUCAAGCCUGUUUAAUAAACUGACAACAUUUA